AGGAUGAACGCUAGCGGCAGGCUUAAUACAUGCAAGUCGAGGGGCAGCAGGGGUAGCAAUACUCGCUGGCGACCGGCAAACGGGUGCGGAACACGUACGCAACUUUCCUUCAAGUGAGGAAUAGCCCAGGGAAACUUGGAUUAAUACCUGUAAUAUUAUGAAGUGGCAUCACUUUAUAAUUAUAGCUCCGGCGCUUGAAGAGUGGGCGUGCGCCUGAUUAGGUGUUGGCGGGUAACGGCCCACGAGCCUACGAUCGAGUAACUGGUGUGAGAGCACGACCAGUCACGACGGGCACGUGAGACGACCGGGCCCACGUCCGUACGGGAGGCAGACGAAGGUAAGAGUAGUUAGGGCAAGUGGACGCAAGUCUACGACCAGC
rnacentral:rRNA from 1 species